GGGGCACAUAAGACUUUGUCCAUCCAGGGUUACGAUGAAUGCAAAAUUUAAACUAAAGAACCCCCUGAAUGAUGUAGGCUAUGGGGCCACAUAAGACUUUGUCCAUCCAGGGUUACGAUGAAUGCAAAAUUUAAACUAAAGAACCCCCUGAAUGAUGUAGGCUAUGGGGCCACAUAAGACUUUGUCCAUCCAGGGUUAUGAUGAAUGCAAAAUUUAAACUAAAGGUAAGGAAUUAAUUAACAUACAUUAACUUUUUUACUCUUGAUAUAACUCAAAGUAAGGAAUUAUAAACUAAAAGUAAGGAAUUAAUUAACAUACAUUAACUCUUUUACUCUUGAUAUCUAUAAUUUACAUAUUGUA